rnacentral:rRNA from 1 species
GACGAACGCUGGCGGCGUGCUUAACACAUGCAAGUCGAACGGAAAGGCCCUGCUUUUGUGGGGUGCUCGAGUGGCGAACGGGUGAGUAACACGUGAGUAACCUGCCCUUGCCUUUGGGAUAACUUCAGGAAACUGGGGCUAAUACCGGAUAGGAGCUCCUGCUGCAUGGUGGGGGUUGGAAAGUUUCGGCGGUUGGGGAUGGACUCGCGGCUUAUCAGCCUGUUGGUGGGGUAGUGGCUUACCAAGGUUUUGACGGGUAGCCGGCCUGAGAGGGUGACCGGCCACAUUGGGACUGAGAUACGGCAGAGACGCCUACGGGAGGCAGGAGUGGGGAAUAUUGCACAAAGGGCGGAAGCCUGAUGAAGCAUCGCCGCGUGCGGGAUGACGGCCUUCGGGUAGUAAACCGCUUUCGCCUGUGACGAAGCGUGGGUGACGGUAAUGGGGAAAGAAGCACCGGCUAACUACGU